AACCUAUGUUGAAGACCUUUCUGCAGGAGCUCCUUGAACCUAUCCUAUAUCUCAAAAUUACACUCCAAUUCUGUUUGCACAAAGGAGGAAAUUUCAUUCUUGAGCUU